rnacentral:rRNA from 1 species
AUGAAUCUGCUCCGACUGGAAUCCUGCAUCGACGGUGUCGUGGACUACUUGGCUCGACUGAAGGUCGCCAUGUCACGGAUCGACCCGGCACUUUGGCCAGAGGCCACGCUCCGAAAUGAUCUUGAGUCCCUGAUGACUUGUCUUAACGAAAUCCCUGACCGAGUGCAGGAGUGGAAGAAGUCUUCUGCUCGGUGUGGUGCUGAUGUGGCUCUGUCUUUGGUUCGUGUCCACUGCAAGGAGGUGCAACAAGACAAAUUGGCAGCAAUCAAGGUCGCCAACACCCAGAAGCAUGACUUCCGAACUUUUAUGGAGACUUUCAUCGCUGCAGCCACUCGGAUCGCUGAUGGUGUCGACCUGGAUGAGUUCGUCGAGCCUGCCAGCCCUCCUCCUGCGGAGUGA